AUUGAACGCUGGCGGCAGGCCUAACACAUGCAAGUCGAACGAGUGGCGGACGGGUGAGUAAUGUCUGGGAAACUGCCAGAUGGAGGGGGAUAACUACUGGAAACGGUAGCUAAUACCGCAUACCAUCGGAUGUGCCCAGAUGGGAUUAGCUAGUAGGUGGGGUAACGGCUCACCUAGGCGACGAUCCCUAGCUGGUCUGAGAGGAUGACCAGCCACACUGGAACUGAGACACGGUCCAGACUCCUACGGUGGGCAGCAUUGGGGAAUAUCGCACAAUGGGCGCAAGCUUGAUGCAGGCAGGCCGCGUGUAUGAAGAAGGCCUUCGGGUUGUAAAGUACUUUCCGCGAGGAGGCGUUACUCGCAGAAGAAGCACCGGCUAACUCCGUGCCAGCAGCCGCGGUAAUAC
rnacentral:rRNA from 1 species